GUGGGGAAUCUUAGACAAUGGGGGAAACCCUGAUCUAGCCAUGCCGCGUGAGCGAUGAAGGCCUUAGGGUUGUAAAGCUCUUUCAGCUGGGAAGAUAAUGACGGUACCAGCAGAAGAAGCCCCGGCUAACUCCGUGCCAGCAGCCGCGGUAAUACGGAGGGGGCUAGCGUUGUUCGGAAUUACUGUGCGUAAAGCGCGCGUAGGCGGACCAGAAAGUUGGAGGUGAAAUCCCAGGGCUCAACCUUGGAACUGCCUUCAAAACUCCUGGUCUGGAGUUCGAGAGAGGUGAGUGGAAUUCCGAGUGUAGAGGUGAAAUUCGUAGAUAUUCGGAGGAACACCAGUGGCGAAGGCGGCUCACUGGCUCGAUACUGACGCUGAGGUGCGAAAGCGUGGGGAGCAAACAGGAUUAGAUACCCCAGUAGUCC
rnacentral:rRNA from 1 species